GGUGACGUCGUGUCAGCACGCAGGGUAGUACUAAGGGGGGUGGCGUUAAGUUGAAUGUUUGUGCGUAAAGGCGUCUGAGGCGGCUUGUCACGUUGGUUGUGAAAGCCCUAGUGUUAACCUCGGGGCGGCAGGCUAUAGUGGCGAGCUAGGGUGUGGUAGGGUAGAUCGGAAUUCCUGGUGUAGCGGGGAAAUGCGCAGAUAUCAGGAGGAACACCGGUGGCGAAGGCGGAUCUCUGGGCCAUUACUGACGCUGAGGAGCGAAAGCGUGGGGAGCGAACAGGAUUAGAUACCCCAGUAGUC
rnacentral:rRNA from 1 species